AACGAACGCUGGCGGCAGGCUUAACACAUGCAAGUCGAGCGCCCCGCAAGGGGAGCGGCAGACGGGUGAGUAACGCGUGGGAAUCUACCGUGCCCUACGGAAUAGCUCCGGGAAACUAGAAUUAAUACCGUAUACGCCCUACGGGGGAAAGAUUUAUCGGGGUAUGAUGAGCCCGCGUUGGAUUAGCUAGUUGGUGGGGCAAAGGCCUACCAAGGCGACGAUCCAUAGCUGGUCUGAGAGGAUGAUCAGCCACAUUGGGACUGAGACGCGGCCCAAACUCCUACGGGAGGCAGCAGUGGGGAAUAUUGGACAAUGGGCGCAAGCCUGAUCCAGCCAUGCCGCGUGAGUGAUGAAGGUCUUAGGAUUGUAAAAUUCUUUUACCAGGGACGAUAAUGACGGUACCUGGAGAAAAAGCCCCGGCUAACUUCGUGCCAGUCGCCGCGGUAACAC
rnacentral:rRNA from 1 species